rnacentral:rRNA from 1 species
AUGAAAAUGAUAUGUUGGAACUGCCGAGGUUUGAGUCAGCCUCGGACAGUUCAAGAACUUGUGUGCCUUUCAAAGACACACCGGCCUAACAUUAUCUUUCUUUCUGAAACAAGGAAAAAUAAAGAGUAUGUUGAGAGUUUGCGCUACCGCUUGGGUAUGAAAAAUAUUUUUACUGUUUCUAUGCCAGGCAAAGGAGGUGGAUUAGCGGUCUAUUGGGAUAACCUAUACACGUUGGAGUUAAACAAAUAUUGGCAACAUUUUAUUGACAUGUACAUUUCUAAUGAUGCUGGCACUAAGUGGAGAUGCACUUUUAUCUAUGGGGAGCCAAAGGUAUGUUAUGUGGGAAUUGUUAAGGCGUAUAAAACCUCUUGGGUCAGGUCCGUGGUUUAUGGUUGGUGA